UGGGGAAUAUUGCACAAUGGGCGAAAGCCUGAUGCAGCAACGCCGCGUGAGUGAUGAAGGUCUUCGGAUUGUAAAGCUCUGUCUUUUGGGACGAUAAUGACGGUACCAAAGGAGGAAGCCACGGCUAACUACGUGCCAGCAGCCGCGGUAAUACGUAGGUGGCGAGCGUUGUCCGGAUUUACUGGGCGUAAAGGGUGCGUAGGCGGAUGUUUAAGUGAGAUGUGAAAUACCCGGGCUUAACUUGGGUGCUGCAUUUCAAACUGGAUAUCUAGAGUGCAGGAGAGGAGAAUGGAAUUCCUAGUGUAGCGGUGAAAUGCGUAGAGAUUAGGAAGAACACCAGUGGCGAAGGCGAUUCUCUGGACUGUAACUGACGCUGAGGCACAAAAGCGUGGGUAGCAAACAGGAUUAGAUACCCUGGUAGUCCACGCCGUAAACGAUGAGUACUAGGUGUAGGAGGUAUCGACCCCUUCUGUGCCGCAGUAAACACAUUAAGUACUCCGCCUGGGAAGUACGAUCGCAAGAUUAAAAC
rnacentral:rRNA from 1 species